rnacentral:tRNA from 1 species
UAUAUUUUAGUGUAUGGUGCACAAUAGUUUUUGAUACUAUUAGAUAUAGUUUAAUUCUAUAAAAUAUAA